rnacentral:rRNA from 1 species
UACGGAGGGGGCUAGCGUUGUUCGGAAUUACUGGGCGUAAAGCGCACGUAGGCGGCUUUGUAAGUUAGAGGUGAAAGCCCGGAGCUCAACUCCGGAAUUGCCUUUAAGACUGCAUCGCUAGAAUUGUGGAGAGGUGAGUGGAAUUCCGAGUGUAGAGGUGAAAUUCGUAGAUAUUCGGAAGAACACCAGUGGCGAAGGCGACUCACUGGACACAUAUUGACGCUGAGGUGCGAAAGCGUGGGAGCAACAGG